UCCUACGGGGCGCAGCAGUGGGGAAUAUUGCACAAUGGGGGAAACCCUGAUGCAGCGACGCCGCGUGAGUGAAGAAGUGUUUCGGCACGUAAAGCUCUGUCAGCAGGGAAGAAAAUGACGGUACCUGACCAAGAAGCCCCGGCUAACUACGUGCCAGCAACCGCGGUAAUACGUAGGGGGCAAGCGUUAUCCGGAUUUACUGGGUGUAAAGGGAGCGCAGACGGCAGCGCAAGUCCGGGG
rnacentral:rRNA from 1 species